rnacentral:misc_RNA from 1 species
UUUUUGCGUCAGGGAUCGAGGCGUUAUCCUUUUGUGAAGUGGAACGAAGCAAAAGAUAUAGCCGAAAGCCCGACCCGCC